rnacentral:rRNA from 1 species
GUGUCAGCCGCCGCGGUAAUACGUAGGGUGCGAGCGUUAAUCGGAAUUACUGGGCGUAAAGCGUGCGCAGGCGGUUUUGUAAGUCAGAUGUGAAAUCCCCGAGCUCAAUUUGGGAACUGCGUUUGAAACUACAAGACUAGGAUAUGUCAGAGGGGGGUAGAAUUCCACGUGUAGCAGUGAAAUGCGUAGAGAUGUGGAGGAAUACCAAUGGCGAAGGCAGCCCCCUGGGAUAAUAUUGACGCUCAUGCACGAAAGCGUGGGGAGCAAACAGGAUUAGAAACCCGCGUAGUCC